rnacentral:misc_RNA from 1 species
UCAAUGGAUGACAGGGCUUAUACAAACGCUAAUUAUGUUGUGGAAUAUAUGGCAAUAAACAGAACUGGCCUCUUUCUGUUCAGUCAUAAUGGAUCAGCUGUUGUAAUUCAGAUGAGUUUGUCACCAUCUGACUUCCGAAUUGCCCAGUUGGAUGCUUCUGGCCACUUUAUAAUCAGACGUUUUUCUGGUAGUGACGGGGAACAGGAAUUUGUAGGGCCAAUUAAUGGUUGUCAAAUUCCACUUGUCUGCGGCAGAAUUGGAUUGUGCGUUGCUGCUCAGUCCAAUGGACCAACUUGUUCUUGUCCGCAAGGUUUCCAUGAAGUUUCACAAAAUUCAAGUGGUUGCGUGCCAAGUGGUCCUUCUUUGCCGCUUGCUUGUAAUUCAACCAAAAAUGGCAGUCAGUUGAAUUCCUCUGCUCUUUCGUAUUCGAUGCUUGGUUUUGGUAUGGAUUACUUUGCUAUUGAUUUCUCUGAGCCUGUUAGAUAUGGGGUAAAUUUGUCUGUCUGUCAAGAGUUUUGCACAUCAGACUGUUCUUGCUUGGCAAUUUUUUAUGAUAACUCAUCAGGAUCUUGCUAUGCACUUGAAAAUGACUUGGGUUCCAUCAUAUCAAGCACUGCAUAUGAAGAUGAUAUGUUGGGAUACAUUAAAGUUAUAGUUGGAGCACCUUCAGAUGUCCAUAACACUUACAGUAGUCAAAGUCAACAAUUCCCUGUAAUUGCUCU